rnacentral:rRNA from 1 species
UACGUAGGCAGCAAGCGUUGUUCGGAAUUACUGGGCGUAAAGAGUGUGUAGGCGGUGCUCUAAGUCUGUUGUGAAAUCUCCCGGCUUAACCGGGAGGGUGCGGCGGAAACUGGAGUGCUUGAGGAUGAGAGAGGUGAGUGGAAUUCCCGGUGUAGUGGUGGAAUGCGUAGAUAUCGGGAGGAACACCAGUGGCGAAGGCGGCUACCUGGGGCUUUGCUGACGCUGAGGCGCGAAAGCGUGGGGAGCGAACAGG